CUUGGUCUCCAGGUGGACAGAGAACAGCCAGCCCAACUUGUAAUUUGGAACAUUAAAUUUUGUUUUUGAUCUGGCUCCCACUUGUCCGAUCUUCUGCCCAUGAAGCCUAAUGCUAAGGUGAAGAACCAGAGAGCUGGUGGAAACUCAUUUGCACCUCACAGUUUUUACUCAGAAUUGGCACAUUGUCAAAGCAAGUCCAGGCCCAAGCUCAAAGUCAGUGGAUUGAGAUGUGUUACAAGGAAAUAUACUACCGCCUGCUAUCUUGAUCAAAAAUAUUCAGUUUCCUCCCUUCUGGAAUCAAACUAUAUUCAUCACCACCUCUAAAGAAGAAAUCCUGAAACCUAUUUUCCCAAAGCCACUCAUUCAUUGGGUAGAUCAUCUGCUAAGUUACUACAGGUAACAGUUUGCUAAAUGCUUUGCCACUGCAUACUGUGGCUCCUUUUCCA